UACGGAGGGUGCAAGCGUUAUCCGGAUUUACUGGGUUUAAAGCGCACGUAGGCGGAUUGCUAAGUCAGGGGUGAAAUCCUGGAGCUCAACUCCAGAACUGCCUUUGAUACUGGCGAUCUUGAGUCCGGGAGAGGUGAGUGGAACUGCGAGUGUAGAGGUGAAAUUCGUAGAUAUUCGCAAGAACACCAGUGGCGAAGGCGGCUCACUGGCCCGGUACUGACGCUGAGGUGCGAAAGCGUGGGGAGCAAACAGG
rnacentral:rRNA from 1 species